UGCAGUCGAGCGGACAGAUGGGAGCUUGCUCCCUGAUGUUAGCGGCGGACGGGUGAGUAACACGUGGGUAACCUGCCUGUAAGACUGGGAUAACUCCGGGAAACCGGGGCUAAUACCGGAUGGUUGUCUGAACCGCAUGGUUCAGACAUAAAAGGUGGCUUCGGCUACCACUUACAGAUGGACCCGCGGCGCAUUAGCUAGUUGGUGAGGUAACGGCUCACCAAGGCGACGAUGCGUAGCCGACCUGAGAGGGUGAUCGGCCACACUGGGACUGAGACACGGCCCAGACUCCUACGGGAGGCAGCAGUAGGGAAUCUUCCGCAAUGGACGAAAGUCUGACGGAGCAACGCCGCGUGAGUGAUGAAGGUUUUCGGAUCGUAAAGCUCUGUUGUUAGGGAAGAACAAGUGCCGUUCAAAUAGGGCGGCACCUUGACGGUACCUAACCAGAAAGCCACGGCUAACUACGUGCCAGCAGCCGCGGUAAUACGUAGGUGGCAAGCGUUGUCCGGAAUUAUUGGGCGUAAAGGGCUCGCAGGCGGUUUCUUAAGUCUGAUGUGAAAGCCCCCGGCUCAACCGGGGAGGGUCAUUGGAAACUGGGGAACUUGAGUGCAGAAGAGGAGAGUGGAAUUCCACGUGUAGCGGUGAAAUGCGUAGAGAUGUGGAGGAACACCAGUGGCGAAGGCGACUCUCUGGUCUGUAACUGACGCUGAGGAGCGAAAGCGUGGAGAGCAAACAG
rnacentral:rRNA from 1 species